UGGGGAAUAUUGCACAAUGGGGGAAACCCUGAUGCAGCGACGCCGCGUGGAGGAAGAAGGUCUUCGGAUUGUAAACUCCUGUUGUUGGGGAAGAUAAUGACGGUACCCAACAAGGAAGUGACGGCUAACUACGUGCCAGCAGCCGCGGUAAAACGUAGGUCACAAGCGUUGUCCGGAAUUACUGGGUGUAAAGGGAGCGCAGGCGGGAAGACAAGUUGGAAGUGAAAUCUAUGGGCUCAACCCAUAAACUGCUUUCAAAACUGCUGGCCUUGAGUAGUGCAGAGGUAGGUGGAAUUCCCGGUGUAGCGGUGGAAUGCGUAGAUAUCGGGAGGAACACCAGUGGCGAAGGCGGCCUACUGGGCACCAACUGACGCUGAGGCUCGAAAGUGUGGGUAGCAAACAGGAUUAGAUACCCUGGUAGUCCACACCGUAAACGAUGAUUACUAGGUGUUGGAGGAUUGACCCCUUCAGUGCCGCAGUUAACACAAUAAGUAAUCCACCUGGGGAGUACGACCGCAAGGUUGAAACUCAAAGGAAUUGACGGGGGCCCGCACAAGCAGUGGAGUAUGUGGUUUAAUUCGACGCAACGCGAAGAACCUUACCAAGUCUUGACAUCCUCUGACGAACGUAGAAAUACGUUUUCUCUUCGGAGCAGAGAGACAGGUGGUGCAUGGUUGUCGUCAGCUCGUGUCGUGAGAUGUUGGGUUAAGUCCCGCAACGAGCGCAACCCUUAUGGUCAGUUACUACGCAGGAGGACUCUGGCCAGACUGCCGUUGACAAAACGGAGGAAGGUGGGGAUGACGUCAAAUCAUCAUGCCCUUUAUGACUUGGGCUACACACGUACUACAAUGGCGUUAAACAAAGAGAAGCAAGACCGCGAGGUGGAGCAAAACUCAGAAACAACGUCCCAGUUCGGACUGCAGGCUGCAACUCGCCUGCACGAAGUCGGAAUUGCUAGUAAUCGCGGAUCAGCAUGCCGCGGUGAAUACGUUCCC
rnacentral:rRNA from 1 species